rnacentral:snRNA from 1 species
GUGCUCGCUUCGGCAGCACAUAUACUAAAAUUGGAACGAUACAGAGAUUAGCAUGGCCCCUGCGCAAGGAUGACAGGCAAAUUCGUGAAGCGUUCCAUGUUUUA